CACGUAGGGUGCGAGCGUUGUCCGGAAUUAUUGGGCGUAAAGAGCUCGUAGGCGGUGUGUCGCGUCGGCCGUGAAAACCUGCAGCUUAACUGUGGGCUUGCGGUCGAUACGGGCAUCACUGGAGUUCGGCAGGGGAGACUGGAAUUCCUGGUGUAGCGGUGAAAUGCGCAGAUAUCAGGAGGAACACCGAUGGCGAAGGCAGCUCGCUGGGACGGUACUGACG
rnacentral:rRNA from 1 species